CUCACACGGGGAUACUGAAGUUGCUUAGAUACCGCGAGACUCGGCGACCGAGCGACUCGUCAUGUAGAUAGGCAUGGCGUCACUCAGACGGCGAUACUGGAGUGGCGGAGACUGGAAGUCGUAAGCAACGUAAAUCCCGGCGACUCAGCAUGCUGGUCUCCACGCUACUCCAGUAGCCUACGCGGCGCGAUACUGUAUUGUAGCGAACAAUGGGCGAGCAGGCGUUUAAUAUCAAAUUUGUAAACGAAGUUGAGAAACACCCAGAACUCUAUAACUACAAGUUGAAAGGGUAUUCAAAAAAGGAUGUGACUGACAAAGCAUGGAAUGAUGUCGCAAAAGAAGUGCAACUCACAGUUAACGAAUGCAAAGAAAAAUGGAAAAAUCUCCGUUCAGUUUUUGUCCGUCACAUAAAGCCACCUCCAAGUGGUUCAAGUUCCAAAAAUAAGAAACCAUAUUAUCUAUCGGAGGCAAUGAAAUUUACCCUACCAUUCAUAAAAACGCUUGGUACACCAUCGGGGAAUUUGCCAGAAGUCAUCAAUGAACAAAACCUGGAACACAGUUCAUCUGACCCAACACAAAAUACGGAAGACGUUGCGGCUGAAGAGGAGGAAUAUAUCUCAGAUAACGCAAUACUAACUACAACACCACAACUUUCCCUUCCUUCACCUAUGCUGCCAAAUACUGACUUCUCGCAAGAACAUGCUCAUCAUUCCCAACAAAUGACUCAUGAUCCCUUUUCCAACCCAAAAGAUAAUUUAUCAAAGCGUAAAAAGCAAACAGUGACGGAAGUGGACAAGUCCUUUAUGGAAUACAUGAAUGCAAAGAAAAGGAAACUUGAAUCGAAUUCAAACGAUGAUAGGCAAGUAAAAAAGUCGUUUCUUCUAAGCCUUUUACCAGAAAUCGAACCUUUGACAGAUGCACAAAUGAAAUCAUUCCGACGUAGGGUUCUGCAGCUUAUUGAUGACAUCACGAAUCCAAAAGACAUGCACCAACACGUACCAGCUUACCAACAGACCCCAACUUACUCCUACAGUGUUUCCACGCAUUCAUCGUUGGCUACAGAUAAUGCUUCAAUUUGUUCGUCGCCUGGAAAUCAAACUAUUCCACAGAAAGUACAAGAUACUGAAACGCAACAGUAUUUUGAAGUCAUCCAAGAGACUUUACAAUAUGAGCAGGAACAUAAUGUGAUGUGAUGUUUUGUUGGGUGUGUAAACAUAUAACUUUGGUGUACGUGUUUUUAUCUCUAUUAUGUUGUUUAUUUUUGUGUUUACAGUCAUGAUUUGAAUGUUUGUGUAAUGGGUAUUCUUUAAAUAGUUUAUAUAUAUACAUUUUUUCUUUUGCAGUACAUUAUUUGAAUGUGUAUUUCUUAGGUAUAUUUGAAUUAAACAUUGGAAUGAAUUUAUGCAUAAGAUAUGUUUAUACUUUCACCUUUCAGUUGACUGGAAUACUUGGGUAUAAAUAACUUUAGAUUAUUUAACCUGUUAACGUUAAAGUGCACAUUCUUAAGAUCCAUACAACAGCCAUUUUCCACAGAUAAAAUAAGUAAUUGCGGCCUCAAGUUAAAAUGCAUACAUUGUUUUUAUUCGCCAAGCAUCAGUAUAUACGUUAAAAUACUUGGAAAGAAAUAGAUUUGUGUUGAAGGGAAACAUUUAGAAGUGCCUUAACAAAAAUUCGUAAUAAUUUGUAUUUCUUAACUUACUUACCUCAAAGUUAUCAGCAAUCGUUCACCGGGGCUCACGCAUUCCCUCAUAGUGGUAUCCCUAUAAUACAUCGCAGGUGUAACAAUUUCCGUUAACAUUUGGUAAGUCUCCUUCGUCAUUCUGUAGAAAGCGAUGAAUUUUGAGUCUGUCUCUUGCAAUUCUUUGGCCGCGACAAAUAAUCUACAAUUAAUGUUCCUUUCUAUAUAUGGAUGAACCCACAAUCUUUUCCUACUUCGUUUUCUAUAAUGUUGAUAAUAUUGGAUAACAAUAUCACUAUCGUCACUGCUGUUAUCACUGGACAUUACAUACAAUAUAUAGGCACUUCACGGUUCCACAAGAUACUCGGGCUGUACUCACGAUGCAUUUUUUCCUCCCAGUCUCUGAUAUUUUAGUAGCGUCGUGUGAAGAUAACGGGCGACUAGAGUCACCCAGUCACACAGUUGCCUAGUCUCCAGGCUACCAGCGAUCGUUUUGUAGGCAACUUCAGUAUCCCCGUGUGAGGAGGGCCUUACACCCGGCCGCAACCGACUAUGUAGUCGCUUAUAUAAGGGAUGCAAUCCCUGUAAUUUUUUUUUAAGUAGUUUAGUCAGUCUGCGUAGUACAAAGUGUCAUAGUUAUUGUUAUUUUAAUUUUUUUUUUUGAAAUGAAGAAAUCAACCGCGCCCAGCCGCGCAAUCGCGGGAUCCAGUUCUUGGCUCGCGACGCAUCUGUAAAUAGAAGCCAACUCCCCUGUCUGACAGGGUCCGAGAGCCGGACGCCGAAUUGGCAUUUUCAUCUCCCUUCCUCAACAGGACACAAGCUCCCUGGCAUCAUGUACCCUCGUGAUCUCCGGGAAACGAAGCCCCGACCUCCGGUGCUUCUGUAUCUUUUGACCCUUUUUGUACUUUCUUUAAAUUACGUCGUCGAUGCAGUUAAUUAGAUAAACAAAAUUUCUGGACUUUAA